GAUGAACGCUGGCGGCGUGCCUAAUACAUGCCAGUCGAGCGAACAGACGAGGAGCUUGCUCCUUUGACGUUAGCGGCGGACGGGUGAGUAACACGUAGGUAACCUACCUAUAAGACUGGGAUAACUUCGGGAAACCGGAGCUAAUACCGGAUAAUAUUUCGAACCGCAUGGUUCGAUAGUGAAAGAUGGCUUUGCUAUCACUUAUAGAUGGACCUGCGCCGUAUUAGCUAGUUGGUAAGGUAACGGCUUACCAAGGCAACGAUACGUAGCCGACCUGAGAGGGUGAUCGGCCACACUGGAACUGAGACACGGUCCAGACUCCUACGGGGGGCAGCAGUAGGGAAUCUUCCGCAAUGGGCGAAAGCCUGACGGAGCAACGCCGCGUGAGUGAUGAAGGUCUUCGGAUCGUAAAACUCUGUUAUUAGGGAAGAACAAACGUGUAAGUAACUGUGCACGUCUUGACGGUACCUAAUCAGAAAGCCACGGCUAACUACGUG
rnacentral:rRNA from 1 species